rnacentral:rRNA from 1 species
CCUACGGGUGGCAGCAGUGAGGAAUAUUGGUCAAUGGGCGCGAGCCUGAACCAGCCAAGUAGCGUGAAGGAUGACUGCCCUACGGGUUGUAAACUUCUUUUAUAAAGGAAUAAAGUGAGGCACGUGUGCCUUUUUGUAUGUAUUUUAUGAAUAAGGAUCGGCUAACUCCGUGCCAGCAGCCGCGGUAAUACGGAGGAUCCGAGCGUUAUCCGGAUUUAUUGGGUUUAAAGGGAGCGUAGAUGGAUCGUUAAGUCAGUUGUGAAAGUUUGCGGCUCAACCGUAAAAUUGCAGUUGAUACUGGCGGCCUUGAGUACAGUUGAGGCAGGCGGAAUUCGUGGUGUAGCGGUGAAAUGCUUAGAUAUCACGAAGAACCCCGAUUGCGAAGGCAGCCUACUAAACUGCUACUGACGUUGAUGCUCGAAAGUGUGGGUAUCAAACAGGAUUAGAUACCCGUGUAGUC